ACUGAAGAUGCUAAGAUGAAAAAUGAGAAUUUUCCGCAGGCA
rnacentral:tRNA from 1 species